CUUUACUGUAGCCUGGUAUUGGGUUCGGGCUUUGACUGCGCAGGAUAGGUGGGAGACUGAGAAGUGUGCCUUGUGGGGCACAUAGAGUCAACGGUGAGAUACCACUCUGUCAGAGCUAGAAUUCUAACCUUCACCCGUGAUCCGGGGAAGGAACCGUAUCAGGUGGGCAGUUUGACUGGGGCGGUCGCCUCCUAAAAGGUAACGGAGGCGCGCAAAGGUGUUCUCAGGCUGGUUGGAAAUCAGCCGUAGAGUGUAAAGGCAGAAGAACGCUUGACUGUGAGAGUGACAACGCAAGCAGGGUGGAAACACGGCCUUAGUGAUCCGACGGUAUGCGAGUGGAAGUGCCGUCGCUCAGCGGAUAAAAGUUA
rnacentral:rRNA from 1 species